rnacentral:rRNA from 1 species
GACGAACGCUGGCGGCGUGCUUAACACAUGCAAGUCGAACGGAAAGGCCCUGCUUUUGUGGGGUGCUCGAGUGGCGAACGGGUGGGUAACACGUGAGUAACCUGCCCUUGACUUUGGGAUAACUUCAGGAAACUGGGGCUAAUACCGGAUAGGAGCUCCUGCUGCAUGGUGGGGGUUGGAAAGUUUCGGCGGUUGGGGAUGGACUCGCGGCUUAUCAGCUUGUUGGUGGGGUAGUGGCUUACCAAGGCUUUGACGGGUAGCCGGCCUGAGAGGGUGACCGGCCACAUUGGGACUGAGAUACGGCCCAGACUCCUACGGGAGGCAGCAGUGGGGAAUAUUGCACAGUGGGCGGAAGCCUGAUGCAGCAACGCCGCGUGCGGGAUGACGGCCUUCGGGUUGUAAACCGCUUUCGCCUGUGACGAAGCGUGAGUGACGGUAAUGGGUAAAGAAGCACCGGCUAACUACGUG